UGUGUAUCAGUACAUGGCAUAUCAAUAGCGGAGGAAAAGAAACUAACAAGGAUUCCCCUAGUAACGGCGAGUGAAGCGGGAAGAGCUCAAAUUUGAAAUCUUAAAGGGUUUCCCUUUACGAAUUGUAGUUUAAAGAAGUGUUUUCUGUUGGAGUUUCGGUAAAAGUUCUUUGGAAUAGGACAUCAUAGAGGGUGAGAAUCCCGUAUUUGACCGUUACUUUCCAGCUGUGUGAUACACUUUCAAAGAGUCGGAUUGUUUGGGAAUGCAGGUCCAAAAUGGGUGGUAAAUUUCAUCUAAAGCUAAAUAUUGGCGAGAGACCGAUAGCGAACAAGUACCGUGAGGGAAAGAUGAAAAGAACUUUGAAAAGAGAGUUAAACAGUACGUGAAAUUGUCAAAAGGGAAGCGUUUGACACCAGUGUUGUUUUCUCGAAAAUCAAUUAAAAAUGGUCCGGAUGUUGUGUUGUAUUGACUUUAUCAGCUUUCUGCACUUUUUUUCCUAUCCUUUUUAAUGCACUUUUCGUUUAACAAGUCAACAUCAAUUUCUUUUGUUGUAAAAGAGUCAUUGGAAGGUGGCUUUCUUUUCGGAGAAAGUGUUUAUAGCCUUUGGCUUCUGCAAUCGGAGAGAUUGAGGUCUGCAGCGUAGAUCCUUCAGGGUUAGAUGCAUUUGUGCUAAGUUAUAGCCUUUCAUAGACAACUUGUUGACUAUGAUCAGUCAUGUAGCUUACUCGCUUAUGUCAUUUUACCUACGCUUAGGAUGUUGACAGCAGUAUAGACUGU
rnacentral:rRNA from 1 species